rnacentral:rRNA from 1 species
CAAGAGCGUAUGUAAAAGUUGUUGCAGUUAAAAAGCUCGUAGUUGAAACUUGGGUUUGGUUGGCCGGUCCGCUUUUUUGCGAGUACUGGAUUCAACCGAGCCUUUCCUUCUGGCUAACCAGUCGUUUCGGCGGCUGGCGAACCAGGAUUUUUACUUUGAGAAAAUUAGAGUGUUCAAAGCAGGCAUUAGCUUGAAUAUAUUAGCAUGGAAUAAUAGAAUAGGACGUUAUGGUUCUAUUUUGUUGGUUUCUAGGACCAUCGUAAUGAUUAAUAGGGACGGUCGGGGGCAUCAGUAUUCAGUUGUCAGAGGUGAAAUUCUUGGAUUUACUGAAGACUAACUACUGCGAAAGCAUUUGCCAAGGACGUUUUCAUUAA